GCCAGUCUUCCCAAGGUGAAAUCCUAACUUUGCCACUUACUAGCCAUGUGAACUUGGGCAAGUGACCUAAUCCUCUGCAUUUCAUCUCUAAAUUGGGGAGAAUAGAAGCAUCUACUUCAUGUAGUAGCCAGGAUUAGAAGAGGGAGGAAUAACUGGGCCCUGGAUAGAAUGUGAUGAAUGUAUAUUCUUAAUGAGAAGUGGAAAUAAUUUGUGGUUGAGAGCUGUGCCUCAGAUCAGAGUGACAGGAUACAUGGCUAGGCUAUAUUUUCCAGCAGAUUAAGAGCUGCGGCCCAAGACUCUGAAAUAUGAAGAAAAAAGGAGAAGAUGACAGCAUAUCUUUUUAAAGAAAUAUUUUCCAGCCAAAUGGUGUAGCAGAGGACUUCCAGGAAUUUGUUCUUGUUCUGUAUCAAAGGUGAAGAGUUCGUAGCCUUCAAGGAAACAAGAAACCAUGGGAUGGAGUGAAGGAAGGUGGCCUGGAACCAGCUGCUGAGCCUCUCUGAGCCCCAGUUUCCUCGUCUCUAAAAUGGGGCUGAUCUCCUCUCCCUCAGACUGUUGUUGCAGGAAUUAAAACAGGUGUUGAGUGGGAAAGCAUCAGUCCCAUAGCAAAUGGCCCCUGAGUAGUAGGAUCUGAGUUCUGGUUCUGGUCCUGCUGGGGUAUGGCUGGUUGAGAGGUCAAAGAGGUCUGGCUAAAUGCAUGAGGAUUAAAUUCCUUAUCUAUCAGGAUCCCAUUGGCUCUCGGAUGCUUUGUGGUUCCCUCCAUCCAGAAGAUUAACUACUCCUUUUGACCAAGACUGGCCUAAUGUGGCUGAUUUUUUUUUCUGAGAAGAUGCUGCUCACUUAUGCCCCCCAUCUUUCAACUGUCUCACUGGCCACUCCACAUUCUCCCUAAUGGGGGCCCUGCAGCAGCCUCUGCUUGGCCCCCCUGCCUCCCAUCUGGCCCCCUCCAACCCACUCUCCACAUUGAAGCCAGAUUUAGUUUUUUUGCCAAAUCCAGCCAUGUCACUCGCCUAUCUAAAAUACAC
rnacentral:lncRNA from 1 species